GACGAACGCUGGCGGCGUGCUUAACACAUGCAAGUCGAACGGAAAGGCCCUGCUUUUGUGGGGUGCUCGAGUGGCGAACGGGUGAGUAACACGUGAGUAACCUGCCCUUGACUUUGGGAUAACUUCAGGAAACUGGGGCUAAAACCGGAUAGGAGCUCCUGCUGCAUGGUGGGGGUUGGAAAGUUUCGGCGGUUGGGGAUGGACUCGCGGCUUAUCAGCUUGUUGGUGGGGUAGUGGCUUACCAAGGCUUUGACGGGUAGCCGGCCUGAGAGGGUGACCGGCCACAUUGGGACUGAGAUACGGCCCAGACUCCUACGGGAGGCAGCGGUGGGGAAUAUUGCACAAUGGGCGGAAGCCUGAUGCAGCAACGCCGCGUGCGGGAUGACGGCCUUCGGGUUGUAAACCGCUUUCGCCUGUGACGAAGCGUGAGUGACGGUAAUGGGUAAAGAAGCACCGGCUAACUACGUG
rnacentral:rRNA from 1 species